rnacentral:rRNA from 1 species
AGCAGCCGCGGUAAUUCCAGCUCCAAUAGCGUAUAUUAAAGUUGUUGCAGUUAAAAAGCUCGUAGUUGAAUUUCGGGAUUGGCGCAUCGGUCGUGCCUCACGGGGUAUGAACUGGUGCAGUCAAUUUCUCACCUUCUGGAGAACCGCGAUGUCCUUAAUUGGAUGCCGCGGGGAACCAGGACCUUUACUUUGAAAAAAUUAGAGUGUUUAAAGCAGGCAUUUUUGCUUGAAUACAUUAGCAUGGAAUAAUAAAAUAGGACGGCAUGGUUCUAUUUUGUUGGUUUCUAGGACCACCGUAAUGAUUAAUAGGGAUAGUUGGGGGCAUUAGUAUUCAAUUGUCAGAGGUGAAAUUCUUGGAUUUAUUGAAGACUAACUACUGCGAAAGCAUUUGCCAAGGAUGUUUUCAUUAAUCAAGAACGAAAGUUAGGGGAUCGAAGACGAUCAGAUACCGUCGUAGUCUUAACCAUAAACUAUGCCGACU